rnacentral:rRNA from 1 species
AAUAUUAGUCAAUGCUCGCAAGAGUGAACUAGCUAACUGAAAUCAUAAAAUCACUAAUACUGGUAAUAUGAUAACGUAAGGGAAAAAAAAUGAUACCACCUUACUAUUAGUGUUGUCCAAAGCUGGUGCCAGAAGACUCGGUAAGGCCAGAGACGCGAACGUUAAUCGUCCUAACCAGGCGUAAAGGGUAUGUAGGCAGCUUUCAAAGUUUUAAUUAUAUUAGCUCUACUUAGUUUAAAACUAAGAUUAGAAUAAUUUAGAAUGAAUAAAAGCUAGAAUCUUAUAGAGGAUAAACCAAAUAAUACUUAGAGUAAGGAUGAUAUCUUUAGAUACUAAGGGGAAUACUAACGGUGAAAGCUUUUUAUCUAAUAAUGAUUGACGCUGAGAAACGAAGGUGAGAAUAGGAAAUAGGAUUAGAUACCCAGAUACCUCUCACUGUAAACGAUGAAUGGUGGUUGUUAGUAAUUGAUAUACUAGUAGCGAUGUUAACGCGAUAACCAUUCCGCCUUGCGAGUACGGUUGCAAAACUGAAACCAAAAAAAUUAGUCGGUCUCGGAGCAAACGAAGUGAAGCAUGUUAUUUAAUU